AUGAAUGAAGGAAGGGACUGAAUUGCAGAUAUCCUAGAUGAAUGACAUUGGCAUCUGUAAUACUCUCGUGAUAUUUUAUGUGGCUUAUGUACUUGUUCAUAUAUAUUUACACAUGCUUGUAGGUACACAAGCAUUUGCAUAUGCACAUGCACUUGAGUAUGUGUGCACACAUGCCUUUGGGUGUGGGCCCAAAGUUGACUCGUUGGGUGACUUCUUCCAUUGCCCUCCCUUAUUUUUUGUGAUAGAGUCUCUUAUUGAACCUGGAUCUCAUCCAUCUGUGGAGGUUCAGUGGCCAGUGAAUUUCAGGGUUUCCCAACCCCAGAGCCCCACUCCUCUAAGACCCUGUCUUCCUUGUCCCCAGGGCUGGGAUCAUAGUCACAGGUGCAGUCUGCCAUGCCCAGCUUGUACGUUGAUCCUGAGGUUCUGAGCUGUUUCAGUUCCUACAGCAAGCUCUAUACUAACUGAGUCAUCUCUCUCCUAAUUUUAUACAGAAAAAAAAAAAA
rnacentral:lncRNA from 1 species